CAGCAGAGGACGGUUAACAGAAAGUACGAUGCGCAGCUCAGCAUGGAAACAGCUACAGCUCACACAGUGAGCUUCUGGGAUCAGCUCAUCGUCUCGGACAGGACAGAGACUCACAGAUGGAGGCUGAGACAGGUGAGAGCGUGAGGCUGACGGUCAUCAGGGGGGAUGAUGGUCAGCUGGGCUUCAGUGUGCGAGGAGGAUCUGAACACGGAAUUGGCGUCUUCAUCAGCAGAGUGCAGAAAAACAG